AGGAGGAGGAGAAUGGAGAUAAGAAAUGGAUUAAAGAGGAGGAGACGACUAUGAUGAGCCGUUUAAAGAGGAGGUGAUUGAAGACGAAAAAUGGCUUAAAGAGGAGGAGAUUGAAGAGGAGAAAUGGGUCAAAGAGGAGGCGAUUGAAGAUGAGAGGUGGUUUAAAGAGGAAGAGAUUGAAGAUGAUGAAUGUGUUAAAGAGGAGGAGAUCGAAGAGGAGAUAUGGCUUAAAGAGGACUAUGGAGGAGGAGGCGACAAUGAUGUGUCCUACAGCGAGUCCAGAGGAAGACAAGAGAUACUGAUGCAAAGUGGUCGAGAGGAAGAGGAAGGGGCGGAGAAGAGGUCUGGGGAGGAUGACGGCCAGGGCCGCCGACAGCUUUGGCCGGGCCUGAGACAAAGUCGUAUGAAGUGCACACUCAUCCAAUACAUGCAAUUUUACUGUGGACCCAGUUCGGGGCCCCCAACUCCCUGGGUCCUGGACAACUGACCCCUUUGGGCUACAAUGACCGCAAAUGGAAAAUCUGGAUGAAGCUUAGGAAUGACUUGAGGCCAUCUUGGAGUUGGCCAGAGAAGACUAAAGAGGAGACGCAGGCUGAGGAGGAGGAGGAGGUGAAGGAUGAUGAGAGGGAGAUGAAUGAGGAGGUGAAUAUUAGGAGCUGGCUGAGGAAAAUGAGGAUUGUGCUAAAGUGCAGAAUAUGAAGAUGAAAUGUAACAUUUCUUCUCAGUUUUUCAAGAAAACCCAUAAAAAAAGGAAACAUGAAAUUUACUAUAAAGAAUGAACUAGAAUGGCAAGGCUGAGAGUGCAGGAGAUCUGGAGGCUAUAACAUGGAGAAGACUGAAGCUUAGAAGGUUAUGGACUCUUGCAAUCUACACAGGGAGAGGGUGUUGCAGAGGGGAGAUGAUGUCAAGACUAACCAGUGAGCAGCCCAAGUCACACCAAGCUGACUAGCGAAGGAGAGGGGUGACUAUGAGGAGCUGGCUAUAGCGAACAUGAUGGUUGUGCUGAAGUGGAGAAAAUGAAUGGCAGGGCGGGAAUGGAUGUGACGUAGUAGAGGCCUUGAGUAUAGGCUAUAACGUGGAGAAAACUAGGGCUAAGCAGCAGGUUGAGGAGCCUUGCCAUCUACUGUACACAGGGAGAGGGUUUUGCAGAGAGGAGAAGAAUAUGUAAAGAAGUCUAACCAGUGAGCAGCCCAAGUCACACCAAGCUGACUAGCGAAGGAGAGGGGUGACUAUGAGGAGCUGGCUAUAGCGAAAAUGAUGGUUGUGCUAAAGUGGAGUAAACGAAGAAUGGUAUGGUCUGA